CCGUGUGAAAAUCACAUCCCAACAACACAUAUUGCCCUCGAUAAAUUCUUACUUCUUCAUAAAUAUGUAAUGAAUAAUAUGGGUAUUGGCUACCGAAACCAAAACCAAGGGGAAAAAUACUAUGUAUGUAAAAAAUAAUUCAGUAAACUAUCGUAGGUAAAUGCCCCCUAUGGGCUGAACACUCUUCUUCUCAAAGCAGUUCAUCACCAUACAAGUUUAACUUGCCACAGGCUUUGCAAUGACUUUCUUGAUGGCUUCAGCAUAAGUUCUGUGCUGAUAGGUGAGAGUUGACUCAAGCAGGUCCCAAAGUGAGGUCUCAGGAUUCCAGCCUGAAAUAGGAGUGAGUGAUACAUCAUUAACAGGUAAAACAUUUUAUAUUAAUAACCUUUAAGGUAAAGUAACAAGGAAACAUACCAAGUUGCCUAUUAAUUAUGGUCAUGUCAGGUAUUCUUUUGUCGCUAUCAUCAUAUCCCUCGCCAUAAAAUUCUUUGGAGCUCACAUCAAUAGUAGGUUUUUCCAGAGGUGAUUCUCCACUUACCUUUGAAUAAACCUGCAGAAUUGAAUGAAAAUAAAUAUUUUAUGGCACCAAACACCACCAUUUUAAAAAUCUAAUAGGGUCAAACAAUCAAACUUGAUGCUUAAACCUGAGUCAUCAUUUCAGCAAGCUGCCUAACUGUAACCUCAUUGUUUGGGUUACCCACAUUGAAAAUAUGUCCAUUGGCCCUGCCAGGAUUUUCCUGUUAACAAGUUAUUGAUCACAUUUAGUGGAACAGCCAUCCAAUAAGAAUAAUACUUUAAAAGGUGAACUUCUACAAUCAGAUAAUCUGUACUUAAAAGUCAUAAAGUCUCAUUAAAGAUUGGAUAUGGAAGCCUACAAUCAUCAACAAGACAGCUUCAAUAGCAUCCUUAAUAUACACAAAGGUUCUCUGGGAUUGGCC
rnacentral:lncRNA from 1 species